GUAGUGGCGAACGRACGGGGAACAGCCCARCGCAUAACCUCCCGGGCUACCAAGCCUGCGGCGGGAUGUUGCGUUAAGGGAAAGGUCGAUUCAAAGCCCCGCACCCACCAUACUCUAAGUAUGGUUUGAAUUUCCACUGUAUCCUAACGGCUGCAAAGGCUCCACAGAGGGUGUAAGACCCGUGUGAGUGCGUGGUUAUUUGUGCGCGGGUUCGGCUUUUAUUCCCUGAGAGUCGCGUUGCUUGAACUUGCAGCGCUAAGCAGGUCGUAAACUCGACCUAAGGCUAAAUAUUUUCACAGAACCGAUAGCAAACAAGUACCGUGAGGGAAAGUUGAAAAGGACUCUGAAGAGAGAGUUAAAAGACCGUGAAACCGCUUAGAGUAUAAGCCGAUGGUAUUCUGGAAGGCUGGAGCAAACCCCUAGCGACUUUCCCGACUGUGGGAGAAGCACGCGCGAAGGUUAUCGUGUGUGAUAGAGAGCAGAAGGUACGGUGGGGAAUCGAACCGAAAAGUGGCAUUGAGUUGAUAACACGCCAACCAGAUCUCGCGGGUCUCUGACAGUGGUAACAGGGGACGUUCUAAUGAGGAACUGAACCGAGGCUGGGCUUGAGCGAGCGCCUACUUUGAGUCACACUAACGAAUUGCUUUAACACUGCCGCACCGCAAUCCUUUGUAAGGUCUCCCUCACGACCGGAGCACGUCAAUUGCCGCGUAGUCUGGAGGGCCGCGUCCUAAUUUUCUCUGUCUCGCAUAUCACUGAGGUAUGCUCCUCGCUCUUACACGGGCUUGGAACAGAGAACGGCCGACUCGCGCGCAUAGCUCCGGUGAUAAUUUUUGCCAAACGUGAGCGGAAUGAUCCUAUGCGAAGAUUGUUUCUGACCUGCCUAAACCCUGAAGCCUUGAUCCCCACUGGGUCUUGGUCAACCGAAGGACGGUGAGCCUACCAAUUAACGAUUUACGCUAAGUCCUCUCGUUGUCGCUGCUGGGACGAAGGAGGAGUUUACUCCUCAGCCCACGCGGUCGCAGCUUUCGGAUGUAAAUUCGUGUUUGCCGUUGGGUACUUAACGUUGGAUGGCGAGCCGUAGGGGGAGGCUGUUCGGUGUAUUAUUUCAGAGCCAUUGGUCACGUCUCGAAACACGGGCCAAGGAGCAUAGCAUGUGCGCAAGUCUAAGGGAUAUUGAAUCCUGGAGGCGAAGUGAAAGCAAAUGGUGUGUCCGUGGCGCUUUACUGCGCUGCGGACAGCUCGUGAUAGAGCGCAAUUCCUACGACUCCGUGUCGUGGAUGAAUGCGUCACGCGACUUAAACCGGGUUGAUCCCUCGUAAUCAAGCCACCGUGGCGAUACGAAGGCGCAAACCCCAGGCUCUCUGUAUAAGGGUAUUCGCGUAUCCUKGAGAGCACUGUUGAGCGUUCAUGCUAUAACCCGAAAGAUAGUGAACUMUGCCUGGCGAGGGMGAAGCCCCAGGAAACUGGGGUGGAGGCCCGUAGCCG
rnacentral:rRNA from 1 species